GACGAACGCUGGCGGCGUGCUUAACACAUGCAAGUCGAACGGAAAGGCCCUGCUUUUGUGGGGUGCUCGAGUGGCGAACGGGUGAGUAACACGUGAGUAACCUGCCCUUGACUUUGGGAUAACUUCAGGAAACUGGGGCUAAUACCGGAUAGGAGCUCCUGCUGCAUGGUGGGGGUUGGAAAGUUUCGGCGGUUGGGGAUGGACUCGCGGCUUAUCAGCUUGUUGGUGGGGUAGUGGCUUACCAAGGCUUUGACGGGUAGCCGGCCUGAGAGGGUGACCGGCCACAUUGGGACUGAGAUACGGCCCAGACUCCUACGGGAGGAAGAAGUGGGGAAUAUUGCACAAUGGGCGGAAGCCUGAUGCAGCAACGCCGCGUGCGGGAUGACGGCCUUCGGGUUGUAAACCGCGUUCGCCUGUGACGAAGCGUGAGUGACGGUAAUGGGUAAAGAAGCACCGGCUAACUACGUG
rnacentral:rRNA from 1 species